CGAACGGUCGCGUAACACGUAAGCAACCUGCCCCAAAGACCGGGACAACGUUCCGAAAGGAGCGCUAAUACCGGAUGUGCCCGCCGGGUGACCUCACCUGGUGAGUAAAGCGCGCAAUCGGCUUUGGGAGGGGCUUGCGGCCUAUCAGCUAGAUGGUGGGGUAACGGCCUACCAUGGCGACGACGGGUAGCUGGUCUGAGAGGAUGGUCAGCCGGAUUGGGACUGAGAUACGGCCCAG
rnacentral:rRNA from 1 species